GGGCCGAACCGAGCCGAGGAUCCUGUCCCGGUCCCUGUCCCGGUCCCUGUCCCGGCCCGCUGCGGGAGGCGGGGCGGCCUCCAUGGCUCGCCCGGCCCGGCCCCGCCGACGCCCGCCUCCCCUCCCCGCAGGCCGUGCAGCGGCCCGGGCUGUCCGGGCGGCUCACGGCGGCGGUGGUCGGGAUGGUGCACGGGGAGCGCUGCCAGGAACACCAAGAAGUUCUCUUCCAUUGACCCAGAUUAAUGAUCAAUCACGUCAGGAGGCAGAAGUUUACAAGGAUGUUGGAGUUGAUGGGCUGAUCCUGGAGAACAUGCACCACGUGCUGUACACAGUGCACCCAGGCCCGGAGGUCACCGCAGCCAUGGCAGUUGUCUUGGUUUGAAAAGACAGGAGUCUGUGAAGGAAGGCAAAAACCUCCUGUGAAAUGGGAAAGGUCUUGAUUUUAUCUUAAGUUGAAGGGUGUGUGUUUUCUCAUGUUGCUGAUGAAGGAAUAAUAAAUGCCUGUGCAGGUGACCUGCUAUGAUACAGAAAACACAUUGGAGAAGACAGCAUUCAGAUCUUUGCUGAUAUUAAAAAGAAGCAUAGGUUAGAAUUUGUAUUAGCACAGCCAAUAGACAAAUCACCUUCUACUAAUCAACUUUAGGCCCUGAUGUGCUUGGAAAGGACUUAAAAGUAGCAUCUGUAGCAUCCUUAGUGAGAGGUAAAGCAUGCUGUGAAGAUUGCUGUGCUGGUUGGGUCUGGAGUGACUCUGGAGAAUGUGAGGAAUUACUUGGAUGCAGAUGCUCUAAUAAUUGGUUUGUAUUUCAAGAAAGAAGGAUAUUGGGCAAAUGCUGUUGAUCCUGACUGAGUCAAGAAAUUCAUGGAACACAAAAGUAAACUGAGGGAAUGAGUUUGUCAGCAAACACUGUUUGUUUGUGUUUGUUUGUAGAAAUGUUUGUUUGCAGUGUGGUACGUCCUACGGAAUUAAAGCACAAAUGCGUGGCCAAAUGGCAAAUAAUACCAAAUAAAAAUGCACAUCAUCUCCAUAAUUGGCUGGGAAGCUUGAUGAUAUACUUCACAAUAACCUGGUGCUCUGAUAUUUGCUCCUAGGCAGCACAUUUCUGUGGUGCUCAAAGCUGCCAUCAAUGCAAAGCCAACUCCGAAGUCUUGUGUGAGAUAUUCUCUCCUGUAAGUUAAAUGCUUACGGAGUUUAAGAAUUUUUAGAAAAUGUUCAUCACAGGUGAGCAGAGUUCUGUUUUGCCUUUAAGUACAAUAGGAUGCCCUAAGUUUACAGCUGAAAGUGUUGUAAAUUGGACAAGUUAAUUAGCCUUUCAGUUUCCCCAUCUGUAAAAUGAUGAUAAUAGCACCUACAUCACACAGGGGCCAUAAGACAUAAUGAAUGAAAGAAUGUACAGCACUUUCAUCUCUCCAAAUGAAGGGCUCUUUUAAAGUUCAAGAUCAUUAUAUUUUCAUUAGAAUUAUGCAUUUAUACAAUUGCUACAUUUUUGUAAUACCACACAAAAAUUUAAGAUAAUUGGGGUAUUGAUUUACUUACAAUACUUAUUAGAGAAUGAAUGUAAAUAUUUAAUUACAUUUUAAGUAGAUUUGGAAUGUAGUCAAAAUGCUUUUGCAAAACCUGGAAAUUUUAAUAAAGGUUUUAUUAUUUUUCAGCAAGCA